rnacentral:rRNA from 1 species
CAACUUGAGAGUUUGAUCCUGGCUCAGAACGAACGCUGGCGGCAGGCCUAACACAUGCAAGUCGAACGCCGUAGCAAUACGGAGUGGCAGACGGGUGAGUAACGCGUGGGA